GUUGCGCUCACCGUAAAUGCAGUGAUACUGUAUGUCUGAGUGUACAGAGGUGGCGGAAUUCGUGUGUAGCGGUGAAAUGUUAGAUAUCACGAAGACCUCCGAUUGCGAAGCCAGCUCACUAGGGUACAACUGACACUGAGGCUCGAAAGUGUGGUAUCAAACAGGAUUAGAUACCUGGUAGUCCACACAGUAAACGAUGAAUACUCGCUGUUGCGAUAUACAGUAAGCGGCCAAGCGAAAGCAUUAAGUAUUCCACCUGGGGAGUACGCCGGCAACGGUGAAACUCAAAGGAAUUGACGGGGGCCCGCACAAGCGGAGGAACAUGUGGUUUAAUUCGAUGAUACGCGAGGAACCUUACCCAGGCUUAAAUUGCAGUGGAAUAUGGAUGAAAGUUCAUAGCCUUCGGGCCGCUGUGAAGGUGCUGCAUGGUUGUCGUCAGCUCGUGCCGUGAGGUGUCGGCUUAAGUGCCAUAACGAGCGCAACCCUUAUCUUUAGUUACUAACAGGUCAUGCUGAGGACUCUAAAGAGACUGCCGUCGUAAGAUGUGAGGAAGGUGGGGAUGACGUCAAAUCAGCACGGCCCUUACGUCUGGGGCUACACACGUGUUACAAUGGGGGGUACAGAAGGCAGCUACACAGCGAUGUGAUGCUAAUCCCAAAAGCCUCUCUCAGUUCGGAUCGAAGUCUGCAACCCGACUUCGUGAAGCUGGAUUCGCUAGUAAUCGCGCAUCAGCCACGGCGCGGUGAAUACGUUCCCGGGCCUUGUACACACCGCCCGU
rnacentral:rRNA from 1 species